rnacentral:lncRNA from 1 species
AGGAAAAACACAUAUUAUCUUAGACUGCAAUCUAGUGUGAGGAUGAGAUGGUAUUUUAAUAGGGCUGCAUUUAUCAACUGUAACAAGGGAGGGAAUGUGCUCCAACCCAGCGCGCCUUGUGGGCAAUGCAAGCAAGAGUCAGCGAGUGCGACCGCCGGAGGAGUGCGGCGAUGGGAGGAAGGCAGACGGACAGACAGCCUGCUGGGAACGAGGGCGGUCUGCAGGUGAUCUCGCAGGGGAGGGUGCGGCACCCACUGCCCAUCUUAGCGGGAUCCCAUCCCCUCGCUCCACCAUCCUCAAUGCUCCUGGAAACCUGAAUUUCUGACUUGACUUGCGAUGGGAUUUGCAUGUCUAGCCAGUGACACUACUAUUUUCAGAAGUAAUUACAUUUUUAAUUACGCUUUUUAAUAGCUGGUAGCUGCUGCUUUGCAGUUUUGUUCCUGUCCCUCUUGGACGCACCUUGGAGCAACACCAGGAGCCUCCACUUCCCUUCCAGUGAGAUGUGAGAGUGUGAACACACAGCGAGAAAGGGGAGAACGCGUGUGUCAAUGCGUGCAACUGAUCUCGCAGCCACAUAUCACAGCUGGAGACUGAAACCAGAGCUGGGCAGUGCAUCUCAGAGCCACGGGAACAGCCCCUCAGCAUUUCCCAACACAAGUCUGGAGAAAGAAUGAGGAAGACAGAAGGGCCCAGAUCUGCAGCGUGCAGACAGAGCUGGUCCUAGGAAAAGCACACCAGCUUUCCUCUAAAUCAGGCGUUUGGGCUGAGCGCUUGUGAUUGUAGGAGAAAGGGAAAGUGAUCAUAUAAAAGCAGCCACAGGAGAGGUGAAAUAAACUCUUCAAAGAGGGCUCGUGCUGGUGCAGAUUCUGCAUUGAAAAUCCAGAGUCAGAGAAUUCUCUGUGACGUUGGGCAAGGCGCUGCAUCUCUUACCAGCUCAGACUGCCAGUUGGUCACCGAGACACACCAACCUCCGCACUGCUCCUGUCCAUGGAAACAGACAGAGGUGUGGAAGAAUGAGGGUAUAUCUUUUCUAGAGAUCCAAAAGAAGGAGAGCUCUAAAUACAACAGAAAGGAAUUAGAAGGCAGCUCAUUUUGAUCCAGGCAGAUCCUUCAACCUUUUGAAAUUUAAAGGAUCCCUGACUUUCCUGAAGCAGUCUCAAGACUCCCAUGCACCCAUGUGCAGAGAAAAUAAAAGUCCCUCUGCGCCGCCUGCUCAUUAAUUUGCUUUUCUUUUCUCAUCAUUUGUUUGCUAGCUUGUCUGCUUGGGAAGAUGGCAUGGGUUUCUAUGAUUUUCCAGUCAUUGCCUAACCCACCUGUUGUAGGGCCCAGCAGCGCUUAAUGGCACUGAGCACCACGGAGCUGCAAUGCCCAUAAGCAUGUCUGUUCCCAGUCCCUUUGGAGUCACUCCCUCACAGACACCCUUUCAUCAGCAGAUUUCAGGUGUGCAGCAAACCCUGGGCGCAUGGAGCACAGCAUACUGGAGCACUGCUGGCUGCACACCCCAGCACGCACCGGUGCGUGUCCCUGUCCAGCCAGCUACAAACAGCAGCACAGAGUGGCUGUGAUUUGGCAUCUCAUUACCACAAUGACUUCGGGAGUUCAGAUGCAAAUCACUUGGCAGUAACUUUCUCAUAUUGAAGAGAGGGAGAAAGAGGGAGAAGGAAACAGACAGCCAUCCAGGUACGCUGGCACACUUGGAGGUGGGCUGGGCCUCCCUAAUUGGAGCUGGCACAUCAGUAACUUAGUGGGCUCUAGAUGAGGGUGUACGGAAGAGCACAGAAAGCAGAAGCUGUGCUUCUGCUCAGCGAGCACAGAAAGGCUGCAUUUGGUGCGGUGUGCUGGGGAACGUAACCCUCCCCCUAAUUGCUUCAGAUGGGGACUUUCAAAAUGUGCAUGCCAUGGGUAAUUGUUUUAGGUCUCAGCUGCAACGAUGACAAACGCCGGCUUUGCUUAGCAUGCCGUUUGCAUACUGCUAAAAUACAUAUGGCUGAUCAGGUUUUAGGCCCUGUAAUCAUUCUUUCUAAAGUGCAAUGCUAUUUUCAGCUUUAUCUUCAUUUUAUUCUCAUUGAAAAUAAUUGCUGUGAUUUAGAGACUGUCUAAUGCCCUGUCGUUAUCUCCAGAUCUCUGGUAGUGUAAGCCUGCUGGCAUCCAGUAGCGAACCCAAAAGCUGUGCGGAUUUUCAAGUUGCAGUGUGUUAAUCUUGUUCAGCAUGUGGAACCGUCUCUCUAACUGAGAAGAUGAAUGCGGAUCAGCUUUAGGUGUACUUCUGUGUUUGCAUUUGAAGUUCAGUAAAUGCGAGGAAAAGAAAAAUAAAGAAAUAAAACAACAAAACAAACCAAAAACCAAAACAACAACAAAAAAUACCACUGCAGGAACAAAAAGAAACUGAGGCAAGUGUUGGCUUUGAAGUCGAUAACCUGAUAUGUCCUGCCUGAGUAUGCUCUGUCCAUAAAAACUGAAGAUAAAUAUUAUUCAGAUCACCUUGCAGAGGAAGAAAUUUGCAUGUAGGAAGACUUGAAGUACAAGGAUGGUGAAAUCUUAACUUUGUCUAAUCCAUUAGCCAACCUUUGGAUGGCUUCGUUAUGAGUAAGACAGCACUGCUGGAUGGUUUGUGCCUUAACCUGUUGUACUGACACAGGAGACGGAAACCAAGAGGCUGAGAUUGACUCAGCUUUGUUUGAAAAGCAACAGAUAGUUGUUUUCUGACCAGCCAGUCAGCAAGAAAAGCAAGAAGGAAACGCAUUUUACAACAAAAUCCAUACUUUGUGUCUAUCGCUGCUUCAUUUGUUCCCUGUACCCAUUAAAUAGCCCCUUCCUCUGCUCUUGUUUCUUUCCUUCACUGAUGGAUACAAGAAAGAAAACACUAACUUUUCCCAAAGGAAGUUUCUGAGGCCCCUGCACCAGAAUGCUGGCACCAUGCGGUGCCUCACACCCCCUAUUUCAACACCCCCAGAGGUUUUCCAGCUUUCUAACCCGGCUUAGAAAGAAAUGAUGCAAUCCUUGGAAAGUUACUAUUGAUUUGAGCCUCAUGAAGUUGGUGGCCAAGCGUCAUCGGGUCAGAUGAGAUCAGGUCUUCCCCAGACACCCAUAUGACUGUAGACACAGCUCCAUCUCCUACUGCAACUUGGAAUUCUUUUAUGGGUAAAGAUGCAGAGUUUCACAGAGAUGCUAGGAAAAAUCUAGAAAAAUCUCGAUUUCUUGUGAGCUCAUCCGUUUGUACGUGACUGAGAAGUUCUGAGCCCACCUGCGAUCAGGCAGUGGGUCACUCAGCUGCACGGCAUGAAGACUGAGCAGGUUCAUCACAGCCCUCAGCCUGCCCUCGAGCCCAGCAGCCAGGACUGCUUUAUUCUCAGUGUAAUAAAACCAGAUUCGCACUGAAAGAGAGAGAUGAAGUUUCCCUUGGAGACCAGGCGGAGACCAG